rnacentral:rRNA from 1 species
GCUCGAGUGGCGAACGGGUGAGUGACACGUGAGUAACCUGCCCUUGACUUUGGGAUAACUUCAGGAAACUGGGGCUAAUACCGGAUAGGAGCUCCUGCUGCAUGGUGGGGGUUGGAAAGUUUCGGCGGUUGGGGAUGGACUCGCGGCUUAUCAGCUUGUUGGUGGGGUAGUGGCUUACCAAGGCUUUGACGGGUAGCCGGCCUGAGAGGGUGACCGGCCACAUUGGGACUGAGAUACGGCCCAG